rnacentral:rRNA from 1 species
CACGUAGGGCGCAAGCGUUGUCCGGAAUUACUGGGCGUAAAGGGCUCGUAGGUGGCCAACUAAGUCAGACGUGAAAUCCCUCGGCUUAACCGAGGAACUGCGUCUGAUACUGGAUGGCUUGAGUUUGGGAGAGGAAUGCGGAAUUCCAGGUGUAGCGGUGAAAUGCGUAGAUAUCGUAAGGAAGACCAGUGGCGAAGGCGGGUCUCUGGACAGUUCCUGACGCUGAGGCACGAAGGUCAGGGGAGCAAACGGG